GCUGAGGUGGAGUAUGCCACAUC
rnacentral:miRNA from 1 species